CGGCUAAUGAAGCCCUCUUCACCAGAAAGCGGAAUGCUGCCAUCAAAGGCUUUGAAGCUUUUGUGGAUGAGCAGGACCUGCAAGAAAAGGUGAUGGCGGCAUUUGUG